rnacentral:rRNA from 1 species
UGGCGGACGGGUGAGUAAUGUCGUGGGAAACUGCCUGAGGGAGGGGGAUAACUACUGGAAACGGUAGCUAAUACCGCAUAACGUCGCAAGACCAAGAGGGGGACCUUCGGGCCUCUUGCCAUCGGAUGUGCCCAGAUGGGAUUAGCUAGUAGGUGGGGUAACGGCUCACCUAGGCGACGAUCCCUAGCUGGUCUGAGAGGAUGACCAGCCACACUGGAACUGAGACACGGUCCAG